rnacentral:rRNA from 1 species
CCUACGGGAGGCAGCAGUGAGGAAUAUUGGUCAAUGGACGAGAGUCUGAACCAGCCAAGUAGCGUGAAGGAUGACUGCCCUAUGGGUUGUAAACUUCUUUUAUAUGGGAAUAAAAUGUUCCACGUGUGGGAUUUUGUAUGUACCAUAUGAAUUAGGAUCGGCUAACUCCGUGCAAGCAGCAGCGGUAAUACGGAGGAUCCGCGCGUUAUCCGGAUUUAUUGGGUUUAACGGGAGCGUAGGUGGAUUGUUAAGUCAGUUGUGAAAUGUUGCGGCUCAACCGUAAAAUUGCAGUUGAAACUGGCAGUCUAGAGUACAGUAGAGGUGGGCGGAAUUCGUGGUGUAGCGGUGAAAUGCUUAGAUAUCACGAAGAACGCCGAUGGCGAAGGCAGCUCACUGGACUGCAACUGACACUGAGGCUCGAAAGUGUGGGUAUCAAACAGGAUUAGAUACCCUGGUAGUC